GGGGCACCAGUAGCGGCAGCUAUUUUGGACCAAUCAGUCGUUUAUGGAGGCUCUCCGAUCCAAGCACCAUUCCAAUUGGCUAUCCGGCCGACGGUCCCACAAUAUCAACUGGCCUCGUCAGAAAUUGGUAGGGGGGCAGACACUGCGGAAACACUCAGAAGUGUGGCGCCGAUGAUGCUGUACGAUAGGAUGGCAGAUUCUCUAUGCCACCAACUGUCAACUGC
rnacentral:lncRNA from 1 species